UACGUAGGGCGCAAGCGUUGUCCGGAAUUAUUGGGCGUAAAGAGCGUGUAGGCGGCCUGAAAGGUCAGCUGUGAAAACUCGAGGCUCAACCUCGAGACGUCGGUUGAAACCAUCUGGCUAGAGUCCGGAAGAGGAGUGUGGAAUUCCCGGUGUAGCGGUGAAAUGCGCAGAUAUCAGGAGGAACACCGGUGGCGAAGGCGGUUCUCUGGGCAUGUCCUGACGCUGAGGUGCGAAAGCGUGGGGAGCAAACAGG
rnacentral:rRNA from 1 species